rnacentral:lncRNA from 1 species
GAAAAGUGUUGGGCAGGAGGAGGCCAGCUGGGUCUUUGAAGUUGACAACGGAGCCAGGAAUGAAAGCUGCACUUAGGAUAAGAAUUGCUUUCCCUGGAGCUAAGUCAGCAAAUGCAGUCUGGUUGUCAGAGCUGAGAGGCUUCACCAAGUCAAGUAGGGGAGGACAUCUUCACUCUGCAACUUGCCCUACUGAAUGCAGAAAGUACUGUCUACUUAGAUAAAGCCUACACUAAAAGGGAAUUGAAU